AAAAAAAGCAAAGGAGAGAGAAACUUAUACAACACAGGUAAGGCAAUAUGAUUCUAUUCUACGGGAUUCUAACAUAAAGUUGUUAACACUACUGAAUCCUCCUAUGUGCACCCAUUCAGCAGCUAUUUUCACAGAUAAGUCCCUACCUCGUUGGUUUGUGAAAGUUCAUAAUAUUGAUGCCAUGAUUUCGUCCUAGUUGCAAGUCAACCUGUAUGUAUAUGAGUAUGCAUGCUAGUCAGUAGGUUUUGGCAUUAGACCUAGAGGCAUAAGUUAUUAAAAUCCCGAGUAAUAUCAAGCGGGAUAGGCAUUAGACCGAGAGGCAUAAGUCAUUAACAUCCCGAAUAAUAUCAAGCGGGAUAGGCAUUUGACAGAGAGAUUGGCAUUUGACAUUCAGUAUUACACAAUUGCAUGAAUCAAUACUUGGUUGGCCCCAUAAUUGUGUUGAUCAACUAAACUAUGUAAGCUGCUAAUCGCUCAUUUGUUAUGAAGGUACAAAAAUCCUCGCCCGGCCGAAUAAGUUUUGAGGCCGGGAGUCGGGAGGGGCAUUUUUUUGUCUUAUCGGCGGACUUGGGGGGACUGGGGCCGGGUGCCCGUUAAUAAAUGACUAGUCUAUGGGCAUUUUAUAUAUCAAGUCCCCACUCAAGACGCGUCUUGAACGGGAACUUGGGGGGACUUGUAGUCGGACUGAGAAUAACUACCCUCAGUAAUUACAUUCAACCACAAAAUACUGACUUAAGUUUCAGAAAAGGAAAGACCGGAAGCCCCCGGUCCCCUUGUUAUUGCAGGUCAGCGAGGAGAUAGCAGAUCAUCCACCAGACACACCAUCAGCUUCUGCGAACCCGUCCGGGAUUGUACAGAAACAGAAAACAAGGAGCCAGCUUAUUGUACUUCCUAUAUAUCUUCGAGUAGUGCCACAGUAUAACACCUGAAAACAAAAAUAAUGAACACAGAUAUAUCAAUCAAGACCACUUCUGAUAUAAUUAAGGUGAACAUGAAAAUGAUAAUAAUUAGAAAAUUAGUAUAAGCACUUCAGUGAAUAUUGUUCCCUCAAAUCAAACUGGACUUCAAAUAUACCACAGAAAAAAAAGGAUUCAGUGGCAUGAAACAAGAUACAGCCACCCCACAAUUACAACUGCAUGUAUCAAUAAAUUGACAAUUCUUGCAUACCAACAGUAGUUAAGAGUAAAAUACAUCAAAGGUACUAUACUGGUGCAUACUUUCCGUAAAAACAUUGUAUUCACUUCUUUGCAUCCUAACAGGCUAGGCGAGUGCUUUUACCCAAUUUGCAAAACCUUUCAAAUUGAUAUGCUGCAGAGUUUGUAAUUUACUUGAACUCUGGAAUAAUAAUAAUGAAAGAUGACACGACCCACCCCGAAUUUCACCCUGAAACCCAGAGUAAGUCGUGCGGGGACCAUCUCCAAGGAAAAUUUACUGAAAAGAUUAAGCAAAUCUCCUUGCAGAUGGACAACCCUAAGUCGAAAAUUUCAUAUUACACUCUUAAUUUAACGCUUCUAAAUAUCACAUAAUAUACAAAAAUUCUAAAGUAUUCAGAGCUACUAAACACAAGCGGAAGCAAGAAAACACAAGUAGGUUGUACAGGUAACCUACUGAUGAAAACUGGCCGAAAAGCGGGUGACUAUGCCUCGUCUCCUACUAGAUCCAACCCGAACUCUGCAGACUGGGCAAUUUAAAACGAAGGGCCCAGGGGAAAACAUUUAAUAACGUUAGAGUGAGUGGACAAAAAUAAAUUAAUAAUUAAAAUAUUUAUGUUUCCCCAAAUUAAUUUCUAAGGAAAAAUCGAAUGCCUGCCGCAAGCGAUAAAACCUUUAUCCCAUAAAUAUCGAGCCUCUCAGACUCUAUAAUAUAUGUAUGUAUUUACAUCGUCCAUACUCCCUAUAUAAUUCAUGGGUCUAUAUAGGGCUACUACGCUCGCGUCCAACGCUCACGUCNCGCCUAAUGCGGUGCUACACUACGCCAUCAAGGUGGACAGACGGUGUAUUAAAUACUCGUCGACCCACUACCCCUAUAUGAAUUAAACACUCAUAGUAGGGCUACUACGCUUACGUCCAACGCUCACGUCACACCAUAAUGCGGCUAUAUGCUACGCCAUUAAGGUGGACAGACACAUAUGGCUAGCUAGCAUUUUCUAUACAUACUCUCUCAUAAAUACAUAUUUAUAUUCACCGAAAAUCCCAUUUUCGGUAACUCUCUCUCAGAGAAAUAAAAGCGUCAAAAUUAAUUGACGGUAAAACUCCAACAAAAGGAAAUGUUCAAUCAUGAACCAUAGCAUGCAUAUUACUUCAAAUAAAAGUCCACUCACGAAUUAGGCCUAAGCCUGAUGUCAAUCUGGGGUCUCGUCUACUCGAGCCUCUUCACGUCCUGUUCCAAAUAUAAUAUUAAUUUCCCAACCAAUAUCCAAUAUUUAAUCAAAAUAGGCAAAAUUACCCGAGAGCCAUAAUUACGCUCAUCAUUGCCUAACUUCGAUAUUCUUACAUCGGAAUAAUCCGAACUUAAAUAUCAUACUCAACAGUCGUAAAUACAACCUCUCUAAAAUACGACUUAAAUCCAACGGCCGGAUUCUACAUUAAUUAACCGCCAAAAAUACCAAACUUCGGAAAUUCACAAACCUAUCCAAAUCUCAUCCAAAAAUUCCAUAAUUCACUUCAAUAAUAUCCCCUUAAUAUUCUACAUCAAAAACCAUAAAAUUUCCCAAAACAGCGGCGGCUCCGCCGGCAGCGGCGGCCGGCGACCAACUCCGGCAACCUGCAAAUGCCACCAAAUUUUAACAGAAUCUUCCUCUCAAUCUCCUCUACAACUUUCAUGACCAACACAAACUCCAAUUCUAAGCCUAACCAUGUCAAUCGAACACAAACAACCAUAAAUCCCUAAAACUUUCAAUUAUACAAACCACCCUAACGAAAUCGAAUUAAGCCGAAACCUUUUGAGGGAUUACUCACCUAGAUGAGGGCUACAAGUUGAGCCAAAAAUCACGACCUAUGGUGGCCGGAGGACGGAGCUCCGGCGAAAACACAGUCGGCGGUUCCGGCGGCUUUUUCUCCUCUCCGGCGGGUUAGAGGCUCGGGGGCUAGGCCGGGGAGGGAGAGGAGGUGACGGGGGUCCGAUCUGGGCUGGAGCGGCGGCAGCUGGUGGCCGGACGGCGGCGGGAGGACGGCCGGAAGUCUGCUGGGUGUAGAGAGAAAAAACUCGGGUGGGAAGAGAAGAAAAAUCGGGAGGAAGAGAGAGAGAAAGGAAGAAGAAAUGGGUUGGGCUCGGCCCAGCCGACCCAACUCUCCUUUUAAUCCAAAAUUCAACACCCCGAAAAAUAAUACCCGAAUAAAAAUUACCUUUUACUAGCUAAAAUUUACUAUUUUUACCGUCGUCGUAUUUUCUUCAUACUAAUAAUCCUCCGCACAUAAUCGUCCCCGAAACCCCUCUAGGGACCAAUUAAACUAUUUACUCAAUGACGGAGACGGUAAAAUUCUUAUUAUAAUCACGCUAGUAAAUAAGGUAAAAAUAUAAGGGUCGGGAUGUGACAAAAGAUUUAGGAUUGCAUUCCUAAAAGUGUGGGGCUUUGAUGUUGGUGUUUUUGAUAAAUCAAAGACUAGGAGACUUUUCUUCUCAGAUUGAAAAACAAAACUGGGCCGGCCUGGUGGUUUAGAUUUGUUUUAGUGGGGACUGGGGAGUGUAUGUGACCUUUCACUGUUACGAGAGGGUACCAAAAGAUACUGAGCUCAGCCAUUUGAUAUUAUCCUAUAGUUUGCAUUAUACAGCUAAGCUUCAGUAGCCAGAUAGGGAUUUAAGAUUGUGA
rnacentral:lncRNA from 1 species